CUACGGGUGGCAGCAGUGGGGAAUAUUGGGCAAUGGGCGCAAGCCUGACCCAGCAACGCCGCGUGAGGGAAGAAGGUUUUCGGAUUGUAAACCUCUGUCCUUGGGGACGAAGAAGUGACGGUACCCAAGGAGGAAGCUCCGGCUAACUACGUACCAGCAGCCGCGGUAAUACGUAGGGAGCAAGCGUUGUCCGGAAUUACUGGGCGUAAAGGGUGCGUAGGCGGCAUAUUAAGUCAGGUGUGAAAUACUCGGGCUCAACCCGGGGGCUGCAUUUGAAACUGAUAUGCUUGAGUGUGAGAGAGGAAAGUGGAAUUCCUAGUGUAGCGGUGGAAUGCGUAGAUAUUAGGAGGAACACCAGUGGCGAAGGCGACUUUCUGGCUCAUAACUGACGCUGAGGCACGAAAGCGUGGGGAGCAAACAGGAUUAGAUACCCGUGUAGUC
rnacentral:rRNA from 1 species